GCGGGUGUAGUUCAAUGGCAGAACGGCAGCUUCCCAAGCUGCAUACGACGGUUCGAUUCCGUUCACCCGCUCCA
rnacentral:tRNA from 1 species